rnacentral:lncRNA from 1 species
UUUACUUCAUGGCAUUAACAAAGCUCAAGAACUGAUUGGGACUGCUCUGUGAAGGGUUUAAUGAGCUGUGUGUCAGAUCCUUGGAGCUGGCUGAUCUCCUCUGGCUGCAAGUCAGUGUCUGAUGCUUUCAUUUCCCUGUCCUGUGCCUGGCACUAGCCUUAAAGCUUUGCUCCUUCCAGGCAUGAGAGUUCUUCUCAUUUACACUGGCCUCCAGGGAUCAUAAGGAGUUGAAAAGUGCUGUAGGGUCUGUUUGGAUCCCCUCCCUCCAUGGAGCUGCAGCAGGGAUGGCGUGGCACGCUGCUGACAGCCACUGUGUUCCAGGUGCAGGGGAAGCCACAGCCAAAGCACACACAUCUGCCACCCCAGGGCAGAAGCUAAUUCCAGUUUUGGACCAGUUUGCAGCUGGUCAUCUGCUCAGAUGGAUUGAGAUGUCAUGGUGUGCUGCAGGGUUAAAAUAUGUACAGAUUCUCCCAGUGCCAUUUGCAGAGGUGAACCACAGCUGGCUUGGCAGAGGUUUGACACUGCACAAGUCCUGCAAUGGCUCCUGUGCCAAGUCUGGGCAAUGAGCAUCCAAGAGCUAAGCUUCACAUUUUGAUACAUCCUCUCCAUUCUUUGUGUGUGCUGCAAGAUGGAGCUGGCCUCACUACUUGCUUUUCUAAAUUAAGGUAUCUCCUGGCAGGGCACCACUCAGGAGCUCAGGAGAGCACUGCUUGAAGUGAAGCACACCUACUGGGAGGAGCCCAAGGCUGCUGGACAUCCAAACACUCUCCCUGCAGAUUUGCAGAUGUGGUCUGCACAUUGAUGUCAGCACAGGGAAAUGUGGAGACCUCUGCCCAGUGUGUACCAUUUCUAUAAGCCAUGGAAUUCAGCCUUCAAAACUAGAGGCCAUGUAGAAUUAAUUAUGUAGAAUUAACUCUACAUAAUGAAUAUCUGUGAAGCAUGUGGAUAGGGAAAAAUUGCCCAGGGCCCAUGAGCUUCAAUCCUUCACUCUGGUUGCUGAUGAGGAAAGAGUAAGAAAAAUCAUAUGUCUUUCUGGGACCUACUUCCCUUCCACAAGAAAGGAGAGGUGAGAAGAAAACCAGCCUUUCUUUGAUUCACCAUAUUAGUUCAUCUUCCAAGGAAGAAGAAAAAGAAAAAAAGAAGAAAGAAAGAGAAGAAAGAGAAGAAAGAAAGAAAGAAAGAAAGAAAGAAAGAAAGAAAGAAAGAAAGAAAGAAAGAAAGAAAGAAAGAAAGAAAGAAAGAAAGAAAGAGAGAGAAAGAAAUUUCAAAUCUUGUAGCCCUGCUGAGGAAACUCCUGGGUUUUUUACCCCACAUAGAGGAACAGUGGGCUCUGCACGUCAACAUUGAUGACAAUCCAACAGAGAGCAGAGAGCAGAGGUUGACUCACCACCAUGGGUACAAGAGCAGUUCUUUGAAGCCACUGCACUCAUCUUUCUUGGAGAGGUGAUUCAUCACUGAGGAAGUCCAGGAUGAAGUAUGGACACCACCUUCCCAAAAGGGACAGCUGUGAUCUCACACAAACUCCUCCCCUGGCUGCACUAGCACUGGAAAUGAUUUGCUGCUUCUGGGAAUGAGCUGCCUGGUGCAGAUCUGAGGGACUCGUGUCCUCUCUGUCAGGUCUGAAUUACUAAAGCUGAGCCACUUCAUGUCAUGUCCCCUCGUAACAGGGUUUUUGUCAAAAGGGCUUGCAGACAGUUUAAUGGGUCUUUCUCAGGAGCCAUAAAGAUUGCAUGGAGAUUUCUGGAAGGACUUAAGGCUUUUGUCUUUUUCACACUGCAGAAAUCUGAUGGAUGUUCCAUCCACCUAGUCCGAGACUGUCACACACUCUGUGGUCCAGCCUUGAUUACACAAGGUGACAGCACCAAAAAAUUGUCCACUUCUAAUCAGCAGCUCUGCUACAAAUAAACCAAACAUUUCAGGGGAGAUUCUGAUAAUC